GUGAGGAAUAUUGGUCAAUGGGCGAGAGCCUGAACCAGCCAAGUCGCGUGAAGGAAGAAGGAUCUAUGGUUCGUAAACUUCUUUUGCAGGGGAAUAAAGUGCGGGACGUGUCCUGUUUUGUAUGUACCCUGAGAAUAAGGAUCGGCUAACUCCGUGCCAGCAGCCGCGGUAAUACGGAGGAUCCGAGCGUUAUCCGGAUUUAUUGGGUUUAAAGGGUGCGUAGGUGGUUUGAUAAGUCAGCGGUGAAAGUUUGCAGCUUAACUGUAAAAAUGCCGUUGAAACUGUCGGACUUGAGUGUAAAUGAGGUAGGCGGAAUGCGUGGUGUAGCGGUGAAAUGCAUAGAUAUCACGCAGAACUCCGAUUGCGAAGGCAGCUUACUAAGCUACAACUGACACUGAAGCACGAAAGCGUGGGGAGCAAACAGGAUUAGAAACCCCAGUAGUCC
rnacentral:rRNA from 1 species